rnacentral:rRNA from 1 species
GAUGAACGCUGGCGGCGUGCCUAAUACAUGCAAGUCGAGCGAACGGACGAGAAGCUUGCUUCUCUGAUGUUAGCGGCGGACGGGUGAGUAACACGUGGAUAACCUACCUAUAAGACUGGGAUAACUUCGGGAAACCGGAGCUAAUACCGGAUAAUAUUUUGAACCGCAUGGUUCAAAAGUGAAAGACGGUCUUGCUGUCACUUAUAGAUGGAUCCGCGCUGCAUUAGCUAGUUGGUAAGGUAACGGCUUACCAAGGCAACGAUGCAUAGCCGACCUGAGAGGGUGAUCGGCCACACUGGAACUGAGACACGGUCCAGACUCCUACGGGAGGCAGCAGUAGGGAAUCUUCCGCAAUGGGCGAAAGCCUGACGGAGCAACGCCGCGUGAGUGAUGAAGGUCUUCGGAUUGUAAAACUCUGUUAUUAGGGAAGAACAUAUGUGUAAGUAACUGUGCACAUCUUGACGGUACCUAAUCAGAAAGCCACGGCUAACUACGUGCCAGCAGCCGCGGUAAUACGUAGGUGGCAAGCGUUAUCCGGAAUUAUUGGGCGUAAAGCGCGCGUAGGCGGCUUUUUAAGUCUGAUGUGAAAGCCCACGGCUCAACCGUGGAGGGUCAUUGGAAACUGGAAAACUUGAGUGCAGAAGAGGAAAGUGGAAUUCCAUGUGUAGCGGUGAAAUGCGCAGAGAUAUGGAGGAACACCAGUGGCGAAGGCGACUUUCUGGUCUGUAACUGACGCUGAUGUGCGAAAGCGUGGGGAUCAAACAGGAUUAGAUACCCUGGUAGUCCACGCCGUAAACGAUGAGUGCUAAGUGUUAGGGGGUUUCCGCCCCUUAGUGCUGCAGCUAACGCAUUAAGCACUCCGCCUGGGGAGUACGACCGCAAGGUUGAAACUCAAAGGAAUUGACGGGGACCCGCACAAGCGGUGGAGCAUGUGGUUUAAUUCGAAGCAACGCGAAGAACCUUACCAAAUCUUGACAUCCUUUGACAACUCUAGAGAUAGAGCUUUCCCCUUCGGGGGACAAAGUGACAGGUGGUGCAUGGUUGUCGUCAGCUCGUGUCGUGAGAUGUUGGGUUAAGUCCCGCAACGAGCGCAACCCUUAAGCUUAGUUGCCAUCAUUAAGUUGGGCACUCUAAGUUGACUGCCGGUGACAAACCGGAGGAAGGUGGGGAUGACGUCAAAUCAUCAUGCCCCUUAUGAUUUGGGCUACACACGUGCUACAAUGGACAAUACAAAGGGCAGCGAAACCGCGAGGUCAAGCAAAUCCCAUAAAGUUGUUCUCAGUUCGGAUUGUAGUCUGCAACUCGACUACAUGAAGCUGGAAUCGCUAGUAAUCGUAGAUCAGCAUGCUACGGUGAAUACGUUCCCGGGUCU